UGUCUGCAUUGGUUGGAAACCAGGCAACCAAGACAGUACUGCAACAGGUACCAUGACAAUAAUCCCAAACAUUAUCUCAUAUAGUCGCGCCACAGACACAACAGUUCCCCAUAUCAUACUCUUCUGCAAAAAGGGACGUAACACUUGGGCGAUUGAAAUGAAGCCCCAACCAGUAGGAACAAAAGCCAACAGGCUGACAAAGAGAUCACCAAAUUUAAAUGCUGUGAACUGCAGUAAAGCAACAAUUACAACUAUGAAAAAGAGUACAGCAAGGAGCUGCACAAGGCGAAAGUAUAUGUGCUCCCGUGCAGCAUAUUUUUCCCGAGCAUAAGCUGUAAUAUUAAAAAAGCCAAGAGCCACCACCACAUAAAUCCAUGAAAGCAAGUAAACAGCAAUGCUUUUGCUUCCAGCAGCAAUACCCAGAUGAUAUACAAUGCCAUACUGGAAAAAGAAGAAGCGGAGGUCUAGGAUAAUUUCCAGUAUCUUUCCCCACAGACCUGUCGUUCUUAAAUGAUCCUGUUCCUCCUCCCACCAUUUCUCCCAGCUCUGGUCUGACUUCGCAAAAACACUACCACGGUACCAAAUCCAGUUCAUGAAGUCAUCAAAAUCAUACACUGUCUUUAGCCAAUCAAACCCAGAAGGAUUAAACACAAAGGGCCCCAAGAUCCAUGACACCACCAGGAACCAACUUGAUAUAGUCAGUGCUAUAUAUGUAAAAGUUCCUUUAGCAACAGGGCUGUAUGCAGCAUACACUGUAAGUAUCAAACCAAGUUCAAUUGCCUUGACAAAAUGGCUACGAGCAUAUAACCG
rnacentral:misc_RNA from 1 species